CUUCAGUGAUCUGGGAGUGUUUAUAGUGCUGUGACUUUAACACUUCAUGACUGAGAGCUGCUGCUACAGCAACUUCACCCACAGCUACCAUGACUUUGAUCCCCGUCUUCAUCUGGACACUGAUCCUCUGGACUCAAGAAUGCAGAGGUCAAGCCACAGUAACUCAGACUCCUGCAGUGAAAUCUGUUCUUCCAGGAGAAACAGUCACCAUCAACUGUAAAACCAGUCAGGCAGUGUACAGAGACUCGAAUGGUGACCGUUUACACUGGUAUCAACAGAAACCUGGAGAAGCUCCUAAACUCCUGAUUAAAUAUGUAAAUCAGAGACAGUCAGGUUUUCCAGCUCGUUUCAGUGGCAGUGGAUCUGGAUCUGAUUUCACUCUGACCAUCAGUGGAGUCCAGACUGAAGAUGCAGGAGAUUACUACUGUCAGAGUUACCAUUCCAUCACUGGCUACUGGUUCACACAGUGUUAUAGAGUCGUACAAAAACCUCCCUCAGUCAGAUUGUAGAGAGACUGAACUGCUGCAGCUGGGAGCGACUGCAGGUGCUGAGUUGGAGGAUGUGAUACGACACAAUGACACUCUGUGGAGGA